GAGUUUGAUCCUGGCUCAGGAUGAACGCUGGCGGCGUGCUUAACACAUGCAAGUCGAACGGGGCCACCAUUUUUGAAGCGAUUAGCUUGCUAAGAGUGGAAAUGUUGGCGGCUUAGUGGCGGACGGGUGAGUAACGCGUGGGUAACCUGCCUUGCACUGGGGGAUAACACUUAGAAAUAGGUGCUAAUACCGCAUAAGCGCACGGAGCUGCAUGGCUCAGUGUGAAAAACUCCGGUGGUGCAAGAUGGACCCGCGUCUGAUUAGCUUGUUGGCGGGGUAACGGCCCACCAAGGCGACGAUCAGUAGCCGGCCUGAGAGGGUGGACGGCCACAUUGGGACUGAGACACGGCCCAAACUCCUACGGGAGGCAGCAGUGGGGAAUAUUGGACAAUGGGGGGAACCCUGAUCCAGCGACGCCGCGUGAGUGAAGAAGUAUUUCGGUAUGUAAAGCUCUAUCAGCAGGGAAGAAAGAAAUGACGGUACCUGACCAAGAAGCCCCGGUUAACUACGUGCCAGCAGCCGCGGUAAUACGUAGGGGGCAAGCGUUAUCCGGAUUUACUGGGUGUAAAGGGAGCGUAGACGGUAAUGCAAGUCUGGAGUGAAAUGCAGGGGCUCAACCCCUGAACUGCUUUGGAAACUGUAUGACUGGAGUGCAGGAGAGGUAAGUGGAAUUCCUAGUGUAGCG
rnacentral:rRNA from 1 species